CCCUUAGAUGUUCUGGGCUGCACGCGCGCUACACUGAUGCGUUCAACGAGUUUAUGACCUUGCCCGAUAGGGUUGGGUAAUCUUUUUAAAUCGCAUCGUGAUGGGGAUAGAUUAUUGCAAUUAUUAAUCUUCAACGAGGAAUUCCUAGUAAGCGCGAGUCAUCAGCUCGUGCUGAUUACGUCCCUGCCCUUUGUACACACCGCCCGUCGCACCUACCGAUUGAAUGGUCCGGUGAAGCCUCGGGAUUGCGAAUGCUUCGUGCGGACGCGAGAACUUGGCUAAACCUUACCAUUUAGAGGAAGGUGAAGUCGUAACA
rnacentral:rRNA from 1 species